rnacentral:misc_RNA from 1 species
UACUUGGCACAUGCGUUUCGUCUAGUCUGUGUGACUGUGAGUUUGGGUUUCCUUUUCACAACAUAUUCGGCUUUUCAAGUUUACAUUUUCUGCUUAAUCAGUAAGCCGUCGAAUGGAGGGCAAGCAUAAACUCAUCAGUUCUUUGUGGACAUCACUAGUUUCUCCCAGAGUGGUAUAUCACUCAUCAGUCACGUCAGUCAUCAGGAAGUGAGGUUGUUCCAUUUAUUACACUCAAGUCUGGACGAAGGGACUUGAUCCACAGGGCUAGGGAAUGGCUCAACGUGACAAUUUGAGGUCAAGACAUGCCCCUGCACAGCCAUCAGAUCAAUCUGAAUCCACACCGCCCUCAUCAACCCAGUAUGACCACACCCAGCCUGACCACACCCAACUCGACCAUGCUCAAUCUGACCACACCAAACCACCUUCCCUUACUAGAGAGUGUGACCUAACAAGGAGAAAGCGGGUGACAUACCGAAGUAUCAAUAACCAAGACGAAAACAGUACAGCCAGCCUGUCAAACGCAGACACACCCAAGCCAGUCCUAUCAAAAGGAAAUGCCUCUGUCGAGGAUCCUGCACCAUGGCCAAGGAGUAGACUGCUUAUAGUGUUGCUUUUGUUUCGUUGGGUCAACGCCGCUUUAACUCAGACAUUCUUUGUUCCUGACGAAUAUUGGCAAUCUCUUGAAGUGGCGCAUAAUAUCGUCUUUGGCUAUGGGUACCUAACGUGGGAGUGGCAGAUAGGUUUGAGGGGAUUCACACAUCCAGUCAUCUUUGCCAUCUUGUACAAGGCACUUCAGCUUCUCAACUUGGACCAUCCCAUGCUGUUGGUUUUACUCCCCAAGAUACUUCAAGCCACAUUUUCUGCGGUUGGUGAUUACUAUUUGUACAAGUUUGCUCAGUCUCUCUGGGGAGAACAUGUGGCCAGAUGGACUCUUUUCUCUCAUCUUAGUUCAUGGUUUGUUUUCUACACGGCAGCCAGGACGCUGACAAACACCAUGGAGAUGAUCCUGACGAUAUGGGCAAUGCAUUACUACCCGUGGCCUUCAUAUAUGAUCAAAGGCCAUGAUCCGAGUCAGCACAGAUAUUCCACCGGGGUUUACCUUCUCUUAGCUGCUCUUGCUUGUAUCAUGCGACCUACCGCUGCUAUUAUCUGGAUACCUCUUGGCCUGUGGCAUCUUGCAAGAUGUCGAAAUCUCAUCUUGGCUCUUCUAAUUGACUUCAUUCCUAUUGGUUGUGCAGCUCUCAGCUGUUCUUUACUAAUGGACAGAGUUUGUUACGGCAAGUGGAUUUUUGUCCACUUCAACUUUCUUCGCUUCAAUGCCUUAUACAACGUCAGCUCAUUUUAUGGAACUCAGCCAUGGCACUGGUACUUGACACAAGGGUUACCAGUGAUGAUUGGUACCCAUGUGUUCCCAUUCAUUUUAGGAAUAAGGUUAGCUGGUCGUGUCUAUCGCCCAUUGGUGCUGCUAAUGAUCUGGACACAAUUUGUUUAUAGCCUCUUAGAACACAAGGAAUACAGAUUCUUGCUACCACUUCUGCCAAUUGCUAUGUCUUUUUGUGGUGUAUGUUUUAGUAAGUUAUCCAAGGCCGGUCGAGCCAGUAGCUUAGCGAUAUUUAUCCUAGUCAGCAAUCUGCCAGUGUGUCUGUACACAGGCCUUGUACAUCAGCGAGGAACACUUGACGUGAUGAAUUACCUACAGACAGUAGCCCAUGCACCCAACGCUCACAUCAGAACACCCUCUGUCUUGUUCCUUAUGCCCUGCCACUCCACACCUUUAUUCAGUCAUAUACAUGCCAACAUCUCCAUGCGAUUCUUGGAAUGCCCACCCAACCUCAGCCGAUACCGCAAUGCGGAAAGUUCAUAUCAGGAUGAAGCAGAUGUCUUCUUUGACAACCCUAGCGAUUGGCUGAAAGCCGAGUUCAGACCGGGCAGUAACUUGCCAAGAUAUUUGGUGUUUUAUGACGUUCUCUUGCCUAAAAUCAAGAGAUUCUUAUCAAGCAGACGGUACUCACUAACUGCGUCAUUCUUCCACACACAUGUGCCCUUGGACAGUCGUAUCGGCAAAUAUGUUCUCGUGUAUUCCCGACCCCUCAAGAUACCACUCACGCCAGCGUAAUGGCGGACAGAAAACACCCAAGAUCCGAAUUGGAAUGUCAGAUAUAUAUAUGAUAGACUGUGCAUUCUAUAUACCCAGGGUGUCUGGGUCCCUAGAGUGACUUCACUAAAAUUUCAUUAAAAUCAUAAAAUAUAAUGGAGUAGGCCCAAAGCAUUGUGGGUACUCAUUAUAGGCAUUCAUUAUGCAUGCAGGGAAUUUACCCAAGUGACUGGUUAAAUAUACCAAUGCUGUAAGCAUGCUAACAGUUACUAGAAGAGCUGUCACCUUUUAGCCUGGUUCCUGCCUCUUUCAAAUAAGCAGCAGUUGCUGAAGUAACUUUGUGCAAUAUGCCUAAAUAAAUACAGAUCUGCAGAUUUCUUGGUAAGACACUACACACUUUUUGGUAUGAUGUGUCAUCCAGAUUCUCGGAUGAACAAUACUCAUGAAAUGUCUCAUCUGUUGCCCUAAAAGCAGUUUCUAGUCAGCAGAUAGAAUUUUCUGCAGACAGUAACUGACCGGUUUCGGACAAAGCAAUUCUGAUACCAUGACCUCAGUCCAGGCUAGGGCCCGUAAGAAAAUUACAGCUUAAGUUCUGAUUCUUUAAAUGAUCUGUAGAAUUAGUUUGUUGUCUGUAUGAUAAAAUGGGCAAGGUUUUGCAAGAAUGUAUUUAUUAGUGUACAGCUUGAAGAUAUCUCCACUUAAUACUGUGGAAAAUGUAUACACAUAGUUGAUAUUACACACAAUUUUUCUGUAUUGAGGGAUUUACACUUCAGAAAUUUCCUAAUAACUUCACGGUGUUUUAUAUAAGCCUCAAGCAGAUCCGCAAUUUUCCCAGCAAUGCAGGCUCCUUUAGUAGGAACUGCACUUUGCUGGUUCACCAACGACUAUGAAAUGCACGUGUUGCGGUCGCAUCUCCACCUACAGAAUGAGAACCUCCCACCAACAUGGCUCUUUUCAACCGAUGAGGGAGUAUUUGUGCUCUGUGCGAAUAGGGUCAAAGCGUAAAAGGUAAGAAGUGCACCAGUUUAGAAAAUGCAAUUAAUAUUGCAAGUAUUGCAAGUGUACAGUUGUGACCGAAACUAUGUGACCGUACUAUGUUUCAUUAUAAGGUUUACGACGACUCCUGGCUAUAGACCUUGUAUUCCCCAACUAAGUGUAUUUACGAUGUAUUUGAAAACGUUAAAUUCAAAGAGCCCAACUUCUACAAUUGCAUUCCGACUUUAAUUCUGCAAUUGCAUUUCGACCCCCCAAUCAUCUGGUACCAUCCCAUUGAGGGUUUCAAAUUUAUACUGUACCUUCAAGAAUACGACUGAAAUCGGGGACGCCAGGAAGCGCUGUUUUUUCCCUAGGCCAGGAAGGGUAGGAGUAAUUAUAAUAAAAUGGGCGUACCAUAACCUUUACGCAUGCGUUUUUCGUCUAGGAAGGUUGGGGGCAAUUAUGAUAAAAUUGGCGUACCAUAACCGUUACGCAUGCGUUUUUCGUCUAGGAAGGUUGGGGGCAAUUAUGAUAAAAUUGGCGUACCAUAACGGUUACGCAUGCGUUUUUCAUCUAGGAAGGUUGGGGGCAAUUAUUAUACAUGGGGUACACAAAUGGCUACAUGCAUUGUUGGCAUACACAGGUUUAUCCCUAACGAACACAGGGCGAAGGUUUCCCUCGUUUUCUCCGAAUGAUGCAAUCUACAUUCAGAAUUGGCAUCUUGACAUGAACAGAAAAAACCUUUUAAGCUUGUUAACGGUUGAGCUCUGAAGGCGAAUGACUCUGCAUUCGAUUAGGAUGCUUCCAUAUUUAUUUUAACAGAUAAAAAUAAGAGAAAACGUGUUUUCCUUAGAGGUGCUCUUGAAGUACAAGAAACAAUAAAACUGUACUGGCCGACUUGCAUGGUAGCGCUGUCACAAGAGCGUUAUACCUAGAACCGACAAGUCUCUACGUAGUAUUUCUUUUCUUAGUUGGGAAUUGGUGGAGGAUGUUUUAUUAUAGGAAAGUAAAACCCGACAUUUACCUCAGCACUAAAGUUCUGCUAUAUAUGAUAAUUACCACCAACCUUCCUGAGAUAAAAGUGACGUCGCCGCAAAUAUGGUCGGUUAUUCAUCGUCUACAGCUGAUGUAUUUUUAGUUUCAUGAUGUGCGAGCUGAUCAGCUACAGAAAAGAUGUAGGGGGCUUAGAAUGGCCACAGUCUGUAAAAUUGAAUUAAACACUUUCAGUCCAAGUGAAUGUAAA